CCCACUGGCGACGCGUCCCAGCUCCAGAGAUCCGUGGGGAUCCCGCAGCAGGGCGGGGACGGGCACAGCUACUCCUGCCGCGUGCAGGAGGCGCUGGCGACCCCGGCACCCGGGGAGAUGGGGGGCCUGGCCCCCGGGAUCCUGGCCGCCCUCGGCCUCGCUGCGCUGACUGGGGCCGGCGCCGCACUGGCUGGCGUCGUGGUGUGGAGGAGAAAGCGCCCGGACUCCGGCAGAAGCAGCUUCGCCCUGACUGCCAGUGAG